UACCUACGGGGGGCAGCAGUCGGGAAUAUUGCGCAAUGGCGGAAACUCUGACGCAGUGACGCCGCGUAUAGGAAGAAGGUUUUCGGAUUGUAAACUAUUGUCGUUAGGGAAGAUAAAAGACUGUACCUAAGGAGGAAGCCCCGGCUAACUACGUGCCAGCAGCCGCGGUAAUACGUAGGUGGCAAGCGUUAUCCGGAUUUAUUGGGUGUAAAGGGCGUGUAGGCGGGAGCGCAAGUCAGAUGUUAAAACUCAGUGCUCAACCCUGAGCCUGCAUUU
rnacentral:rRNA from 1 species